rnacentral:misc_RNA from 1 species
GCAAACUUGGUCAUUUAGAGGAAGUAAAAGUCGUAACAAGGUUUCCGUAGGUGAACCUGCGGAAGGAUCAUUAUUGAAGUUUGAUUCAGAGGGCUUUUUCUCUGUAGCUGGUUCCUGUUGGGGGACAAGUGCUCGCCUUCUGUUCUUCUUUUUUCACCACUUGUGCACCUUUGUAGAUCAUGGGAUGACAUUUGAGUUCUUUUCAUGGCUUGGAAUCAGGAGUUUAAAUGCUGCUUCUGUGGUAGUUCCAUGGUCUAUGUUUUUAAUAACAUUUAUUAAAUAUUCAGCAUGGUCUUUAUUCAUUUAGGCAUUGUGCCUAUAGAAAUUAUAGUAAAACUUUCAACAACGGAUCUCUUGGCUCUCGCAUCGAUGAAGAACGCAGC